rnacentral:rRNA from 1 species
GGGUCAGUAGGUUGGUCGUGCCACCGGUACGUACUGGUCUCACUGAUUCCUCCUUCCUGAAGAACCGUAAUGCCAUUAAUUUGGUGUUGCGGGGAAACAGGACUGCUACUUUGAAAAAAUUAGAGUGUUUAAAGCAAGCUAACGCUUGAAUACAUUAGCAUGGAAUAAUGAAAUAGGACGAUCGAUCCUAUUUUGUUGGCUUCUAGGAUUGACGUA